rnacentral:rRNA from 1 species
UACGUAGGGUGCAAGCGUUAAUCGGAAUUACUGGGCGUAAAGCGUGCGCAGGCGGCUUUGCAAGACAGAUGUGAAAUCCCCGGGCUCAACCUGGGAACUGCAUUUGUGACUGCAUGGCUAGAGUACGGUAGAGGGGGAUGGAAUUCCGCGUGUAGCAGUGAAAUGCGUAGAUAUGCGGAGGAACACCGAUGGCGAAGGCAUCCCCUGGACCUGUACUGACGCUCAUGCACGAAAGCGUGGGGAGCAAACAGG